GAUGAACGCUAGCGGCAGGCUUAACACAUGCAAGUCGAGGGGCAGCACGAGGUGUAGCAAUACAUUUUGGUGGCGACCGGCGUACGGGUGCGUAACGCGUAUGCAACCUACCUUAUACAGGGGGAUAACCUUUCGAAAGGGAGACUAACACCGCAUAAUAUUACAGAUAGGCAUCUAUUAGUGAUUAAAUAUUGAUUUAGGUAUAAGAUGGGCAUGCGUAUGAUUAGUUAGAUGGUGAGGUAAUGGCUCACCAUGGCGAUGAUCAUUAGGGGUCUUGAGAGGGAUGUCCCCCACACUGGUACUGAGACACGGACCAGACUCCUACGGGAGGCAGCAGUGAGGAAUAUUGGUCAAUGGGCGGGAGCCUGAACCAGCCAUGCCGCGUGCAGGAAGACGGUCUUAUGGAUUGUAAACUGCUUUUAUAUGGGAUUAAAUGUGCAUUUGCGAAUGUAUUUGAAAGUACCGUAUGAAUAAGGAUCGGCUAACUCCGUGCCAGCAGCCGCGGUAAUACGGAGGAUUCGAGCGUUAUCCGGAUUUAUUGGGUUUAAAGGGUGCGUAGGCUGUUAAUUAAGUCUGGGGUUAAAUGCUACGGCUCAACUGUGGUUUGCCUUAGAUACUGGUUAGCUGGAAUACAAAUGGAGCAGGCGGAAUGAAUCAUGUAGCGGUGACAUGCAUAGAUAUGAUUUAGAACACCGAUCGCG
rnacentral:rRNA from 1 species